rnacentral:rRNA from 1 species
UACGUAGGGGGGCUAGCGUUGUCCGGAAUCAUUGGGCGUAAAGAGCGUGUAGGCGGUCCGGUAAGUCCGCUGUGAAAGUCGGGGGGCUCAACCCUCGAAUGCCGGUGGAUACUGUCGGGCUAGAGUGCGGAAGAGGCGAGUGGAAUUCCUGGUGUAGCGGUGAAAUGCGCAGAUAUCAGGAGGAACACCAAUGGCGAAGGCAGCUCGCUGGGACGUGACUGACGCUGAGACGCGAAAAGCGUGGGGGAGCAAACAGG